rnacentral:rRNA from 1 species
GUAGGUGGCAAGCGUUAUCCGGAUUUAUUGGGCGUAAAGCGAGCGCAGGCGGUUUUUUAAGUCUGAUGUGAAAGCCCUCGGCUUAACCGAGGAAGUGCAUCGGAAACUGGGAAACUUGAGUGCAGAAGAGGACAGUGGAACUCCAUGUGUAGCGGUGAAAUGCGUAGAUAUAUGGAAGAACACCAGUGGCGAAGGCGGCUGUCUGGUCUGUAACUGACGCUGAGGCUCGAAAGCAUGGGUAGCGAACAGGAUUAGAUACCCUGGUAGUCCAUGCCGUAAACGAUGAAUGCUAGGUGUUGGAGGGUUUCCGCCCUUCAGUGCCGCAGCUAACGCAUUAAGCAUUCCGCCUGGGGAGUACGACCGCAAGGUUG